UGGCCGGGAGUCAGGGCUGCAGGACGCUCUGCCGCAGUGCACGUUCGUCGCAACCGUCCAGCUCCGGUGAAUAAUGGAAACACAGCGUGGAAACAAUCAAGCUGAUUUAUCGCGCAAAGCGAGUGUUGAAGAAUGCAAUGGGAAGUUCCUGGGCGAACAUCUGGUGAAGACAUCCUAAGAACACAUCUGAAAUGAAGAGAGCACGUGGGAAACCCGUUUCCCCUCUUCUGAAGGACCUGACAUCAGAAGCUGUGAGUGCACAGCCUCCCUCAACCUCAGCCUCCCAGCAUCCUUCCUUGUGGGGAUUUUGUGAAGUCCUUGUUUUCUGUCUCUUGAGUUUCGAGGAGGAGAGUUUGAGCAUAAAUUCAAUUCUGCCUCACACUCCCAUCUCCACCCAUCCUGAUCACGGGGAUCUCCCCCAGCGAAGAGCCAGAGUCUGGGGGAGCGGAGACAAGGAGCUGGAAACACAGAAGUGCGGGCCAAGGUCAGGUCCGCUGGCUGACGCUAAAGUAGGUAGCUGUUAGGCGCCGCCCUCUGGCUCAGGAGCUGACCUAGCCUAUGCCCCCUACCCGGCUGCUGUCUGGAACUAGAGGGAGCACCACCGCGGGAUAUUCCCUGAUUCCCUGUGAGUGCCUUUGCGAGUUGUUCAAAAAGGAAGAUCAGCUGUUGAGCACAGCUGAACUUCCGAAAGGCUUUCCCCCUGGCCCUGCUUCUUUCCCUGGUAGAGACUUGUGAGAAUCUCUAGUCCCAAUGUUUCUGUCUCCCCCAGGCCAGGGACGCGAUCCAAUAGUCUAAUAAUGCACCCUAUCCCGUGAACCCAGUAUCGCAGCAGGCUAUUCCAAGGUGGCUUAGGAUAAUGGAACAAGUUUACCAAUCUCUUGAGGGGAAAAUGGUGCAGGAAUCUGAAAUACUGUAAGCGACUAAAAACUAAACCCAAAGCAAACCAACACCAACUUAAACCAAAGACCAACCGAAGUCAAAACAAAAAUGGCCUUUCUUCAUUACUGAAUCAUAGAGUCCACCCCCAAAAAACUUCAAUGAGUUUACUUUUGCUCAGACACCAGAGUCCUUGAAUCUUUCAGGAAAACAGAGUUCAUCCAGGCCCUUCUGGAGGGCGCUCUUAAUGCUACCGUGUUAAAACGUUUUACAGGCAAGGUUUCAGAGAGACAUCUUUCCCACGAAGGAAGGCUGUACUAUCAUGUCUGUUUACAGAGAGAACUGCCUGCAGAAAGGCAGAAAGAUGGCAUCCAACCCAACCCAACCAAAAACUACAAUUUCCAACUCUGGAAUCACAGUACUGAGUAUUGUGGGCCAUGGAGUGUCUGCCCCUGGAGCAGACUGUAUGCUGGGCUAUUUCCCACUGCCUGCUGCAACUUUUCCACAGACAUUUUCCUUUCCCGUUUCUUUUUUGAUGGUUGAUUGUAAUCCUUCCUUCCAAUACCCAGAGUUAAGUCUCUAUACUCCUUAUGUUUGUGCCUUGAGUCAGGCUUGUUCCUCACAUAUAUGAGGUGGAAACCUUUUGCUAUCUA